GGAAAAUGCUAUAAUGUUAUGUAAUGUAAAGAAUUGUAUUGAGGAUAGAAUUGUGCUUGGCCCUAGUGUAUGGUUAAUCCCUUUUGGGUACAUGACCUUUUUAAUGAAAUAUUUUAAUGAUGUUUUUAUGUUAAACCAAGCUUAAUGUAUGAUAUGUUACCCCAUUGGAGCAUUUGAUGAGGGCUCCAGUGUGGGGUUUUAUGUU
rnacentral:lncRNA from 1 species